GGCGUUCCCAGCGGCGGCGGCGGGUUAGCGCAACACGGACCGACGCUGGGCGCGGCGCUGGGAUACCGGGAGACCCGCGGCUCGGCGACGCGAGACCAUGGGCGCUCGGCUGAGCGGCGGCCAGGGCGCCCCGGAGCCGGUGCAACCCCAGCCCGAGCCCCAGCUCCAGCCCCAGCCCCAGCCCCAGCCCGGGGCGCCCGAGGCUCCUGAGCGGCCUCAGCCUGAGCCCGGUCCCUGGGGGCCGCUGGACGAUGUGCGCUUCCUCAUCGCCUGCACCUCCUGGUAUUGACAAGCCGCCCUCCGCAAUUCCUGCCUGCCGUCAACUGUCGUUCUGUCCGCCUCACCUGGCUCAUCUCUGUGUCUCUUUCCACCCCCGGCGCCCAGGAGACCCUCGGAGAGUCGAGGAGGUCACGGAGAACCAUAGGCCACUGGCUCGCCUCUAGCUCCCCCCAAAUUUGUUCACUUCCCGGCCUGCACCCAAACUUUCGUGUUCACCCCCACUCCGCAGCUUCUUCAGUGGUCUGGGUCCUGGGGCAGCCCUCCCUGGCCCUGGCUUCCAGAUCCAGGCCAGGACUCCUGAUUUGAUAACUCAAGGAACCCCUAGAGUACAUCUGAGCACCACUACUUGAGAAACGCUGUCUGAAGGGGUGAAGUCAGUCUGUGAAAACAUCUCUCAAAUGGCUGGGCUCCCUUUUCACCAGAGCUUAGUGAACUCAAAUAUCAGUGCUUGACUCAAUGAAGCAGAUGAGGACCGAAGGUGCCUGGAAGCAGCCCCUGAGAUCAGCUAGAAGAAACUGUCCUAGGGCAACCCUCUGCAUUCCAUUUUACCUGUCAGGGGCCCAUUGCUGUGGUCAGGAGCUGCAUCUGAACAGUUCAUGUUUGGCUUUCCAGGACAUGGAAAAGUCCUGACCCUUGUCCAAAGAAGACAUGGGCCAUCUUGGAUGAUCUAUCAGAAUUGGCAGCUGUCCAUCAGGAUGUGGUGGGACAGACAAGAGGAUGCUGGGAUAGCAUCCAUCUACAGGUCCCAGCUCCUUUCCACAUAGACCACCAGAAAUUCUUAGGAUUUUGAGACUGGGCCCAAGGUCUUCAACAGCAAGGAAGCCUUGCAGGCUGUACAAACCUCAGAGCUGGGAAGGGGACAGGGUUGUUAGGAGUGUCUUUCCAGUGCCUCCUCCAGCCAAUAUCCCUUCAAGAAAGAAGUCAUUUGCCUCUAUAAGGGAUAUAACUAAAAUCCUGUCAGCUGACAGUGCCUGGCACAUAACAGGACUCAAAAAGGUUAGUUUCUUCUCCUUGCACUUUAUCAGCACAGACAGCCAUUCAUUGACACGGAUUCAAGAAUCAAAAAGGGGAGAAAGAAUAGCUGUUCAGAAAGCCAAGAAGCACACAAGAAAAGAGAUAACCAGACAGAGGAAAUGGUCCUGGAUAGGAAAGAGGACCAGCAUUUGAAGAGGGCAAGGGACAAAGAGAAAUUUAGCAGUUUCAUAUCUUUGCUGAGGCUGAGCCUUGGUCAAACCACAGAUAAGCCAAGAGCUGCCGAUCCCUGAUCUACACAAUGGUCUAAAAUGUUCUCAAGGAGGCUGUCCCCAUCCACAGACACCAGACUCAGCCUCUGAAGAAAUGCGCCUGUAAGUGUCUGCUCUCACCCCGAAGCACAGCCAAGGAAAAAGAACUUGUGUUUCCCAAACGUGCCUAAGUUUAAAAAUCAGAAUGCUCAGGGGAAGGGCCUAGGAAUCUGUUUAUAACAAGAACCCCAGGUGAUUCUUAUGAUCAGGCAAGUUAGGGAGAUUCUGGGGACCAAGACAGUGUUGCUCAAGGUGAUGGGACACUUAUAUCAGAAGUCCCUGGGGAAUUUAUUACACCAAGUGCAAAUUCUCCAGCCUGACCCCAGAAUCAGAGAAUCUGAUUAGCAAGAGGUUAGGGGCCUGGAACCUGGAAUGUGCAUUCUUUAAAGUUCUGAGUGAUUCUGGUGUGCCCUGCAGUUUGAGAACCAUGGAAACUUAGCUUGGUAGCUAAGAGUGUGCUCCAGAGGUGCCUGGCUGGCUUAGUCAGUAGAACAUGCAAUCUUGAUCUUAGGAUCAUGAGUUUGAGCCCCACAUUGGGUGUAGAGGUUACUUUAAA